rnacentral:rRNA from 1 species
AGAGUUUGAUCAUGGCUCAGAUUGAACGCUGGCGGCAGGCCUAACACAUGCAAGUCGAGCGAGAAAGCACCUUCGGGUGUGAGUAGAGCGGCGGACGGGUGAGUAACGCGUAGGAAUCUACCUAUUAGUGGGGGACAACAUGUGGAAACGCAUGCUAAUACCGCAUACGCCCUACGGGGGAAAGCAGGGGAUCUUCGGACCUUGCGCUAUUAGAUGAGCCUGCGUUGGAUUAGCUAGUUGGUGGGGUAAAGGCCUACCAAGGCGACGAUCCAUAGCUGGUCUGAGAGGAUGAUCAGCCACACUGGAACUGAGACACGGUCCAGACUCCUACGGGAGGCAGCAGUGGGGAAUAUUGCGCAAUGGGCGAAAGCCUGACGCAGCCAUGCCGCGUGUGUGAAGAAGGCCUUCGGGUUGUAAAGCACUUUCAGCAAGGAGGAAAGGGUGUAGUUUAAUAAACUGCAUCUGUGACGUUACUUGCAGAAGAAGCACCGGCUAACUCCGUGCCAGCAGCCGCGGUAAUACGGAGGGUGCGAGCGUUAAUCGGAAUUACUGGGCGUAAAGCGCGCGUAGGCGGCUAUUUAAGUCGGGUGUGAAAGCCCCGGGCUCCACCUGGGAACUGCAUUCGAUACUGGAUGGCUAGAGUACGAGAGAGGGUGGUAGAAUUUCUAGUGUAGCGGUGAAAUGCGUAGAUAUUAGAAGGAAUACCAGUGGCGAAGGCGGCCACCUGGCUCGAUACUGACGCUGAGGUGCGAAAGCGUGGGGAGCAA